GCAGGCCCCGCCCGGAGCCCCGCGGCGCCCGGGGCCCCGAGCCCGACCUCCCCGAGCGCCCAGCGCGCCCCUCUCGCCCCUUCCCGCGUCCCCUCCGCGAGGCAGCGUCACCGACGCUUCCCGGCCAGGGGCGCGCGGGGGGUCGGGGGACACUCAGAAGCGCAGAGCGUGGGAGACGAUGUGUGUGGGUUUGGGGGCUGGGGAGGUGGCGGGAAUGCCUCGCGAGUCACAUCGGCGCUAGGUUGUGGGGUGCCAGGGACCCGAACGGUGGGAGGUCUACGGGAGGGAACCCCGUGGUCCUCCAGUCAGCGCGUCUCCCUCACCACUGGCGACUGGUGCGCAGCGAGGAAGGGACGUGACCCUGAGGUCCUCGCUCCGGCCGAAGCUGGGCGCCCCGCGUUAACGCUAUCGCGGAAAUAAAUGUCCUUCGCACCGCCCUCCGUCCACGCGCUAAAAAGCCACAAACCACUCUAUACUCCUCCAGAAAGGGCCCGGAGAACCGGCCGGAGGAGACGUGGGACAUUAAGUAUCCAGUCGUUUCUGGUAUUUUUCUAAGAGGUUCACGGGGUUCUCCCGCCAAGAUCGCUUUACUGGUUACUUCCUCGUUGAAACGCCUUCUAAGUUCUGGGUGAUUUCCGCGGGAAAUCCCUGGGGCAGCAGCCAGCCAUUCCGUCUGAUGCCCAAAUCAUAUCCCUGUCUCUCCAGAUGCUCAUAAGUUCCAGUAGGUGUCACACUUCGGGGUGGAAAUGUCAGGAGGAAAAAAAAGAAAAUCAACUCUGGUGGGAAUGGGGAGCGAGUGGGAAGAGCGUUACAGUCAGACGUGGGCUCGACAGCCGUACUCUUGGCCUGCCUCUGCCGGACCGGAAUCCCACGCUGUGGGUUCCAUUUUCCUCAUUGCCAGGAAAUAUCACUAGGAAUUAAACGGCUUCUUUUAGCAGUGUCAAAGAAAGUGUUACUCUUGCCAGUCACCCAUGAAGAGGGAGCCAAGAGCUGCCCAGAGCCAGUUCCCACAGCCAGGACUUUUCUCUAAAGCCAGAGGUCGGAAAGUUGAACAGAACGGAAGCUAAUUGCCUGGCAGAGGGAAGAGGCAUCAGAGGCCCAAAAGGGUGGGGGUGAUUGGAGGGUGGCCAGGGUUGGUGGCCAGGGUGCCUUCUCUUUUACUUACCACUGGCUGCACUCCGCAGUUACCCAGAGGUGAUUUCAACUGUUCGCCAACCUUGUGCCAGGGGCUGCCCGUGGUUCUGAUAUCAGCAUGCACAAUUUCAGGGCAGGAAGGAUAAACUGUCAGAAAGGACAUUUGGGGAGAAAAAAGGGUUCAGUUCGAGUAAAAGUAGAGAUAAUAAGAGAAUCUUCAAACAUACGUAGAAAAUAAUUUUUACUUUGGAAUGAUCUGUCGGGUUUGUGGAUUUGUCGUUCUCUGCCAUUUACUUUACAAUAACUUUAUUUUGCGGUCGAUUCAUUUUAUUGAAUCUCUGGAGCGAUCUGGUAGAGAAGUGCAGAGAAAUAAGUAGCAUGCAUUUGUAAUAAACAGCUCUAAGUGUUGUUUUUGAUUUUUGUUUUGUUUUUAAGGGGGUUCUCCUGAGUUUUGUAGUGCUGGAAUUUCUAUAAAGAAUUUGUAUUCUAGAUACGUGCACAUUACUUUCUCCAAAUUUAUGUCAGGCUUGAGAUCCUAGGGUAUCUUGUCAAAAUGAAUAAGCUCAAUGUUUUAAAAAGAGUCGGGGGAGGGGGCGACUUACUGGCAAAGGUGUCCCUGCCCCCCUCCCCUCACUUCAGCACCUUGGCCAACACUCUUGAAUUAGCUUUUGCCAAGACAUUUCACUGGAUCUUACACAUCUAGUCGGGCAGUUUGGGCAGCGAUUUUGGCAGCAAGAAGACACGUGCUUUGAAUUUCAUUCUACCAGGUAACUCUUAAAGGGAAGCAGGAAGGUGAUGAGUUCUCUGAGUUGGCACCCACACUCAGUAGGAUUCUGUGGGGCAGAGCAUCCCUUUUGAACCUAAAACCUUCUAAUUGGACUAUGUGUGGAGACUAAUCCUGGCUUACGUGAUCCAAUCCCUUAAGAUCCUUUAUGUUUGCUGCUUCGAGUCCUCAAAUCCUGGUUGUCAAGGGAGAAUAUUAAUAGGAUAGGGGAAGAAGAUUAUGGGUAGCCCACUUCAAUACAGUCAAGUAGAAUUGUGUGUAUUGGAGCAAGCUGUCAUAUAUUGAAGAGCAUUUGAGAGACACAAGAAGGUUCUAUUGAGAACAACUGUCUCGCUGCUAGAUUCAUACAGUGCCCUUUCUAAAAACCCUGUUUGGGGGACCAAAAUCCUCCAGAAUGUUACAGAGAGUUUGUUGUAAGGUUGGAACUGUUCUAUCCAAUAAGAAUAGACAAGGUUGUCAGAUUAACAAGGUAGUUGUGAGUUGCAGACCCCAAGUGUGGGUUAAGUGUAUAUAUAUACAUUCUUACACACACAUACACAUAGGACAGGGAGGCUUCAAAAUGUGUGUGGCUUAUGGAGAACACAGAGCAGAGAGAUGCUUAGUGAGAGCAGCUGACUAGGGGGCCAACUUUGAGGGCAGUUGUUGAAGAAAGUAGAGCUAUAAGCCAGAGCAAACUUGAUUUCAGUUUUUAACCCAAGGCACCAUGCAGGCUCACGUGCAAGCAGACACGUCACCAGGGCCAACCUUGUUUUACAACCCUCUUAAGAACAAUUAGGGAGAGAUACCCGCACUCCCAUGCUCACUGCAACAUUUCCACAAUAGUCAGGCUAUGGAAACAUGCCUAAAUGUCUGUCAAGGAAUGACUGGAAAAAGAAAAUGUAGUAUAUAUCCCAACCUUUAAAAAAAGAGAAAUCCUGCCGUUUGAGACACUGGAUGAACCUAGAGGACGUUAUGCUGAGUGAACAAGUCAGACACAGAAAGAGGAAUACUGCAUAAACUUACUGAUCUGUGGAAUCUAAAAUAGUAAAUCUCAUAGAAGGAAAGAGUAGAAUGGGGCUUACAGGGGCAGGAGGUAGGGAGGUGGGGGGGAUGAAGAAAUGGUGGUCAAAGACCACAAAGUUUCGGUUGCACAAGAUGAACAAUUUUUGGGGAUCCGACGUACAGCAUAGUCGACGAUACUGGAUUGAAUACUUGAAAGUUGCUAAGAGGAUAGGUUUUUAGUAAAAUCUUCUCCACACACGCAGCGGUAACUACGUACAAGUGGUGGUGAAGCCGUUUGACUUCAUCCUGCUGAUCUCGUCACAAUGUAAACAUGUAUCGAAGCCUCAAGUUGUACUCCUUAAAUAUAUACAAUUUUUAUAUGUCACUGCAUCUCAAUGAAGUUUUAAAAAGGAAAAAAAAGCAAUCAUAAUAAUACAUAACAGUUACAAACAAAAGCCAUAUAUUUUAAAAAGAGAAAUAUUUGCUCCUUAGUUAUUCUAAAAUUUUUUCGUGGAAAACGAAUCACAACUCAUGCCAAGGCCCAUCUCAGGAUCGGGAAGAGUUUAAGUAAUUUCCAGACACUUCAUUCAUGAUAGACCCACAAAGCAAGCGUCUUUAGAGCAGAAUCUCCAUUGGAAAAUGAUAAGAAACGGUUCUCCCAUGUCAGAGGGAGAAUUUUACUGAGUGUUUUAUUACUUUGGUUGAAUAUACAUGUCAUGUUGGCCUCAAAGUUGUAAUGCUACUAGUUAGAAAUUCUUUACAGGAAGCUAUUCUUUUAAAAUGUAUGAAGUGUAUUUGUAUUUUUGUGUGAAUUAAUUCAUUUAGAUGGCUUUCUACAAUUCAUUAAGCUAUAAACCUAGGAUUUGGACACUUUUCUGCAUACAUGUUUGAUAGCAAAUUCAAAAGAAAAAUACUUUUAAAGAAAGUAGAGAUGACUUUUCUGCUAACACCAUAUUCGUUCUGUCACUUUGAGAGAAAUGGAGCUUUAUUUAUGGAACGUGAUUGCGUUGAGUCCGAGAAAUGGAAGACUCUGAGGAACAAAUAACCAUCUGGUCAAUUUUUGCCUAAAGCCUCUUAUGUAUUUCCCAGAUGGGAACCACCUUAUGUGUAUGCACUCCUGAAUGCAUUUAUGACCUUUACUCUGUCGUUAUGCAAAAAUUCCUCUGCAAGUCAUUGUUGCAUUGUGACUAAGCUUAUUAGCUUCUUUUAUUUAUUUUUAUUUGUUUUUGAAGUACAGUUGACAAUGUUAUAUUAGUUUCAGGUGUACAAUGCAAUAAGUCUACAAUUCUACACAUCACUCAGUGCUUUCCAUGACAAGUGUAGUUGCCCGCCACCUGUCACCUUACAUUAUUACAGUAUUAUUGAGUAUAUUCCCUAUACUGUACUUUUCAUCUCUGUGACUUAUUUCCUUUAUAACUGGAAGUUUGUACCUCUUAUUUCCCUUCAUCUGUUUCAUCCACACAAAAAACCAACAACGUGACAACCACCCCCCUGGCAACCACCAGUUCGUUCCUUGUAUUUAAGAGGCUUCUGUCUUUUUGUUUGCGCAUUUGUUUUGUUCUUUAAAUUCCACAUAUAAGAAAUCAUAAGGUAUAUUUGUCUUUUUCUGACUUAUUUCAUUUAGCUUAAUACCCAGUAGGUCUAUUCCUGUUUUUGCAAAUGGCAAGAGUUCUUCCUUCUUUUUAUGACUGAGUAAUAUUCCAUAUAUACAUAUAUACACACAUAUAUAUAUGUAUGUAUCUAUAUCUAUAUAUCUAUAGCUCCUUUAUCCGUUCAUCUGUGGAUGGAUGCUUGGAUUGAAUCCAUAUCUUGGCUAUUGUAAAUAAUGCUUCAAUAUACAACAGGAUGCCUAUGUCUCUUUGAAUUUGUGUUUUCAUUUUCUUUGGGUAAAUACCCAGUAAUGGAAUUACUGGGUUGCGUGGUAUUUCUGUUUAUUAACUUAUUUUAUUUCAUUAACUUCUUUUAAAGAGGAAACGUCCUCCCAGAAGUGAUUGUACUUACCCAGUAUGGGUGUACGCAGAAAACAUAAAGGGUAAGUGGUUGAGAAAGGACAGUAUUGACUUCAGUAAUCACAAAAGUUCCAUAUCCUUCCUUUCCUUUGACAUGUUUUAACUUCUUCUGUGCUGCAGUGAUACUACUUUUGAUAUUUUAGGGAGCUUUGAGUAAGAAGCAGAACUCUGACAGACCAAAGAUCUUGGGUUGAGAAGUAAUGCCUGUAAACAUGUUUACAGGAGCAGAAGGAAGAAUUUCCUCUCCUCUGAACUUUAUGGAGGAACGUCCCUGGCCUGGGGAUGAAGUCAACACAAACUUAGUUUACAACUAAGGUUGAAUGUUACUGAUUAUAUCGACUACAGUUUUUUCUUACUUCUCAAGUGCAUUGCAGAAGUGACUUUGAAGAUAAAUGGUAACAACAGCGGGAUACAGACAACUUCUAGAUGGGACCAAAACCAAAAGAAUGAGUGUGGUUCUGGCUGUCUUCUUCUUCACAACGAUUUUCUCUGAAGCCUCACAAAGAAAAAGAGCAGGAAUACAUGUGUCAGGAUAAACCAUUGAUGGAGAACCCAUGAAGUGCCUGGCACGAAGUUCAGUGUGUAGUUCUCUGAGCCAUCCUAUCAGGAUGUUAUUAUUGCUAAAACUUACAGAGGAAGCCGUGGAGACUCAUAGGGUUAAAGACCUCACCCUUAGUUAAGGAAACUCUCUUGCAUCCUGAAUAGUAACUAGCAGAGCCUUACCUUCCAGUACCGUAGUGGCGUCCAGCAGCAUCUGUAGACUGGAAGGCUUGAGGACUUGAAUCUGCUUGAUGUUGCACUCUGAUUGUUAGCUCUGAUAAUUCUGAUACUCGUCAGUGCCUACUCCAGCUUUCCUCUGAGGUUAGAAGCAGAGCAGAAGCUGUUCCAAGUACCUAUAACAAUGGGUAACCCACCAGAGCUCAGUUGUGAAGUCCUUCGAAUAUAAACUUGCUCAGCCAUCCCUGUGCUGUCUAUCUGGCAAAGUCAUACGCAUAUUGUGAAAGAGGGUGGGGUUAUUUCUUCUCAAGUCGACUUCUGUCUAGGACAGCCUGCUUCUCCAUCGCGAUCACUUUACCCCACUCCUGCAAGUGCCUGAAAUUUUCCAGUGCAUCACGUGUCCUGCACUGGACAUGUGAUGCACAUGUUUUCAUUUAACUAGGUUGUGUUGCGGUUCUUUUUUCACGCACUUUCUUAUUCAAAGGGGUGAUUCGAAGUGUCUUACAAUGAUGCAUAUAAGGCAACAAUGAAAAAUAUAGUGAAUGAGGGGGUAAAUAGCAAUAUUAGCAACAACUAAAAAGCAGUAUUAGGAAAGUUAGGUGUUGUCAAGAAUAGAUUCGUGAAUACAGCGCAUAACCAUUAAGUCCCACAGUCUUGCUAAGACUGUUUCCUGGUGUCCAAGUUGAAAAGGAAAACAUCAUCAGCCGUGAGAUUAAGAGGUCUGCAGUGUAAAAUAAAAUAUUUUGCUCUAUAUGUGUUUGGCUUUUACUUAUACUGAGACUCAAGAGACAAGACAUUUUUUUUCUGUGAUUAUUCAUUCAGGGCAGUAGAGAUUCCCUUAGAAUGUGGGCCCUGGGCCAACAGCUUUGGAAUCACCUGGGAGCUUGUUAGCAAUGCAGAGUCCCAGUCCCCAUGCCAAGUCUACUAGAAGAGAACAUGUAUUUUAACAAGAUCCUCUGGUAAUUUAUAAGCAUAUUAACAUUUGAGAAACAUAAAAAAUAAGCUACAACUAUAGCCAUAAUUUUGCAGUGUAUUGUCAAAGGCAAUUGGGUGAGGGUCCAAUACAAUACUGUUUAUACCGUGACUCUUUGAAAGAGUUGCUUGAGGCAAAAGUAAAGUGUAGAUCACCUAGAAAUGUAUGAAAACGGGAUCGGUUCCUUGCUAAGUGACUUUGGAAGGUCCCUUGAUCGUUCCUGUUAUAUUGUCUCCUUCAUGCAGCACCUUAACUGUAAUGUAAUCUUACACUUCCAGGGUAAGUAAAAAAUUCCAUAGCAUAUAUGAAAUAGUCACAGUCUGAAUCUGCAAAAGUUCUGACCCCGGUUACAUCCCUAAAGAUGAGUUCCAGGGUGAGGCCAGUGUUUCCGUGCUUACCAGAGAAUUUUAAAGCAGGAUCACUAGAACUCACGAAGGACAUGCAAUAAUGAAUCGUUGCUUUACAAGAUUUAUGUUGCUAUCAUUGAGGCCGUUAGUGAUUUGAAAACAAUUGGUUAUACCAGCAAAUCUGAUUGCUGGAAUCAGAAAGUCAUGAAAGGUUUUGUUUUGUUUUCUUUUGUUUUUCUCUCUUCUAGUCAUUGAAUCUCAGAAAAACAUGAUGUCUCUCCUUCACAUAAGAAUGUUCUAAGGAUGGAAUUCUCUGGAGUUAAAGGUCUAGAUUUCCCCACAUGUUGUGAUGUCGUCCAGGUCCCUUUGGCUGCCUUUCAGCCCGUUUUGGGAUGCGCGUUCCUCUCCUCCACGUUCACGAGCACUUUGAACAAUCUGGCCAAUUCGGGAGUUGGUCUAGGAAAUUUCAGAGCGUGUGAGUCUGGCGAGCAGAAUUCCAACCCUGGCUCUGUGACUCUUUGUGAAGUCAUGCCUCCUUUUGCAAUCUCUGUUUUCUCAUCUGGGAAAUUAGGGGAUUUGAUGAUUGGGUCCUUGCAUUUGCCAUUCCUCUGCCCCAGAGUUCUCAUGGCUUCUCCUCCUCUGUCAGGUUCUCCGAUGUCCCCUUCUCAGGGAGGUCGUCCUGCAUCACCAAGUGGAAGUAUGUCCCGCAGCCUUCCCUCCCCUGCAGCCUUCUGGGUUCCAUUACUGUCCUUCAUUUUCCUUGUGGCUCCUACUGCCACCUGAAGUAGAUCUUUUUACUUAUUUAAUUUCUUGUUUCUCUUUCCCAAACUUCCUCCUUUCAAAUAGAUGUGCCGUUGAGAGAAGGAAAGGUGUCUAUUUCACUACUUUUAAACUCUAUUUACUAUAUGAAAGUAAGAGGAGGGAAGAGUCUCCUUUUCACUGCAAAUGAGGUGCUAAAAGCAGCAUCAGGAGAGUGGGCUGGUCGCACAUCAGUGAGCGACUGUAAUGGAAUUAUGACUUACAAAUGGCCAGUUUGUCAGUGUCUGCUGCUGAUGCUCCUUGAGUCACCUUCUUCACCACGUACUCAGAAAGACAGUGAGCACGUCCUGUGUGCCAGGUACUUGACUCGUACAAUCUCUUUUAAUCCUCAUGACAAGCGCUCAACCAAGGAUUUUUAUUCCUAUUCUAGAGACGAGAAGGAAGAUGCCUUGAGAUCGGGCUUGGCCCAGAUCAAAUGAGGAGACACUGAUGGAUCCCAGAGUCACAGGCAGGUAGCCCAGCUCCAGAGCUGGUGUUCUCCACAGCUGCUCUGUCCCGCGGACCAGUUGCCCCAGGCAGGCAGGCUGGCAAGCCUCAUUACACGUGCAGUUAGCAACCAAGCCGGAGAGAGCAAGGACAGAAAAGGAAACCCCAGAGCACUCGCCAUAGGAAGAGGGUUUGAAAAGGAGCUUCUUAACAAAAGAAGACCUGUGGCUACUUUUGCUCUGCUCAACCAUUCCUCAUUCAUGACAUCUCAGUAAUGCAGGAUAUCAGGCACGACUCUAGCUUUGGACACUUUAUCCAUACUCAGUCGUUUCCCUAGGACAGGACCGGCAUGGAGUGGGUUAAGCUUUGCAAACAAAGCCUCCUUCAACUCUGAAAGGGACAUCGUUUGAUUCUUUUUCUUCUAUAGAAAUACAUUUCUGGCACGAUCAGCAUGGAGUAAUUGGGUUGCAGCAUUACAUCUGCUAUAUUGUCUUCUGUAGUCUUGAUUUUGAUGCUUGUGUUUACAAACAAGAGGAGUUUUUUUCCACUGAAGUGAGAUUUGUUUGCUCUCAUCUUUCACUGCAAUGUCAGUCAGCUGGAAAGAAAUGGUUGUGUUUGCUGGACACGACAUGUUGACCUACAUUAAAUGAUGUAGAAAUAAUAAAAUUUAAUGAAUGUAACUGAGUUAGUGGCAAUAGAGAAAAACACUUGCCUUUGAAAAUGUUAAUAUUUUGCAAAUGGACCGAAGUGGAAACGCCUCUGAGACUAGAAGAAUUAAUGGACCCAAAUUAGGCAGUGUUCCUUUAAUUGAGCUGCUAAAUGUGAAAAUAGUCAGUUUUUCUAAUUCAAUUUCAACGUACCACCUCUCCUGACAUGGGAUUUGGGAAGCUUGGCAGCUCUUUAAGCAAAACACCAAAAUGGCAGAGUUUAACAAUAGGUCUGUUUAAAAAGAUGACACCACUUAUGAUGGCACAAAGAGCUUUUCUUUAUAUAAUUAUUCUAGUAAUUACCAAUUUAAGUGACUAAUUAAGGUUGUCAAAAUGGCCAAUGACUUUGGCCUUUCAAAUCACACAUUCUAUACAAAGAACACAGGUGUGACGUGGCAAACAAGCAAACAAAAAACUUGAACAAAAUUUACUACUCAAUGAAAUGUGAUAAUUAAAUUAUUUUUGAACA